rnacentral:rRNA from 1 species
GAUGAACGCUGGCGGCGUGCCUAAUACAUGCAAGUCGAGCGAAUGGAUUAAGAGCUUGCUCUUAUGAAGUUAGCGGCGGACGGGUGAGUAACACGUGGGUAACCUGCCCAUAAGACUGGGAUAACUCCGGGAAACCGGGGCUAAUACCGGAUAACAUUUUGAACCGCAUGGUUCGAAAUUGAAAGGCGGCUUCGGCUGUCACUUAUGGAUGGACCCGCGUCGCAUUAGCUAGUUGGUGAGGUAACGGCUCACCAAGGCAACGAUGCGUAGCCGACAUGAGAGGGUGAUCGGCCACACUGGGACUGAGACACGGCCCCGGCUACUACGGGAGGCAGCAGUAGGGAAUCUUCCGCAAUGGACGAAAGUCUGACGGAGCAACGCCGCGUGAGUGAUGAAGGCUUUCGGGUCGUAAAACUCUGUUGUUAAGGAAGAACAAGUGCUAGUUGAAUAAGCUGGCACCUUGACGGUACCUAACCAGAAAGCCACGGCUAACUACGUGCCAGCCGCCGCGGUAA